ACAAAGGGCUUGUAUUUCUUUGAGCGUUUUCCAGUGAGAAAUCGCAAACCAUGGUUUAACAAUUUUAAAUUUAAGCGGAAAAACAUUGUAUCUAUCAAUAGAUUAAAUCUGGUCAUACUACAUUGGCGGAAUGUCUGUUUAAACAUAACGUCGUUGAUUCACCGUUGUGCAAAUUUGAUAACAUUCAGUCUCUGAAUCACAUUUUUUGGCAAUGUGAAUUGCUUAACAACCAAAGAAAAAAACUUCUCCCCACUCUACAUGCCCAUAAUUUAGUGGGUCCUUUUUGCGUGAAAUAAUUUUUACAUACUAUGGUUCCAAACAUUAUUUCUGCGUUAGCUGCUUUUAUUGAUACCAUUCCGAUCAGGAUAUAACGUGAUGUCGUUCGCGUCUGCUUAUACCUACUUCUUUCCCCUGUAGUAUCUAUGAUCCUUGAACUCCGACCUCAACUUAUCUAAUAACUGUGUGAUUUUUUAUUAUUAUUAUUGGAAACCUUCCUAUUUUAUAUACUCAUUUUAUUCCCCACUUAGACUAAAUUUACUCGAAUUUUUUCAGAUUUUCAAAUGUAAUUUUUUUUUCUCUAGCUGUCUCAAGGAAAUUUUAUGUAUGUAUUAAGUCUGUUCUAACUAACGAUAUGUUCAUAAUCAUUGCACUGUUCAUUUUUAUUUUGUUCUAAAUAUAAUUCAUGUUUAUUGAUUAUGUUAGGAUUUAGCGUAUCCUCUCCACUUAAGAUACCUGAACUGAUCUCUUAGUUGAUCAGGAGUGAUAUUCUUGAUUACGUCUUUGUACAACGACUAGUUAAUGUAAUGGCGGUGUUUGUAUAAUACUAUACAAUGUUACUUCUUAUAAGUGUUUUAUACUGCUUUAGGAUUAAUUAACUGUAAUCACAUAAGUUCGAAAUCCUUCGUCUUUAAGUUUUUUUUUCAUGAUUUCUCCUACUUCGAAUUUCUUGUCAAUGUAUUAUAUUCUUAUUUUUACAUAAGCUCUAUUUUAUACUGUAAUAUUAUAUUAUUGCUGUUUUGUUUUCCAAAACUGUGUUUGGCGGAUAUGUUUGAAGUUAUCACAUGCGUUUAAAAUCUUCGGCUGCUCUUUUAUAUUAGAAUUUGAUUUUAUAUAUAUAUAUAUAUAUUCUCUAUAGUUACCAAUGUUACUAUUGUAGCCAGUUCAGAAUUACGUUUGUAUUGGCUAGAUGGCUCUGCUAGGCCUUACCCUUUUUUUCUAAUAAACAUCAACACGGCAAAAAAUAGUCGCCGUGAAAUGUCCACGUGCGCUUCCUCAGAUGAUGUCACCUAUACCAUAAUUAGUAUCGCGAGGUUGCAUCACUACUUCCAAGAUGCGGUUGUUAUCGGAAAUUUAAGCCGCAUGGUAGGAUAAAAAAUUGCAUAGAGGUGGUCUCAAUUUACUAUGAGAACAAUGAAAUGUCAGCAUAUUGAAGAUAAAUCACGUACAUUUGAUUGUAAAGUAAAUGGGCUCUGCUUGCAUCAAUCAGUCAGUCAGUCAGUCUGUCAAUCAGUCAGCCAGUCUUGUCAGUCCGUAAUAGCAAGGCUUGAAUCAUUUAAAAAAAUGUCAUUUGAACAACUUCGGCGACUUCUCAACCUGGAUAUCCCGCUAACGCACAUCUAAUAGUGCAUGACAACCAUCAAUUUGAAGAAGGACAUAUGGUGUCUUUACGUAUAGUUGGUCCGGUCGAGAAUAUACAGAUGAGCGACAUAGAAAUCGAUGGCUUUAUUAAUAUUUGGAAAAAAAUUCAGGUGCGAUCAAUAAGUAACCGUAAAUUCAACGAUAAUAUAUGGGAGAAGACGGACCGGAAUUUAU